CAAGCAGCAUUGCUCGUAGCCACGUCGUGUCUAGUCUCCAAUCCCCCUCCACAUCAACAUGAAGUGCUUCAGCCUGAUGGUAGUGGUGUUGGCCGUACUGGCCAUGAUCAUGGGCGGAUCUCAAGCCGCGCCGGAGCCGCAACCAGCGGGGGCCAAGGGACUACUGAAGGGCGCUAAAACCGCCAUAGGAGUGAUUGGAGCCAUAGGCACCGGCAAGGAGAUCAUCGACCGCGUCAGGAACAGGCACGGAUGAAAAGUCAUCGCAAUUUAUGAAAUAAUUUUAUUGCAACAACCAAAAGUUAGUUACUAAGUGUUAAAUAAACACGUUUAAUAAACUUA